rnacentral:tRNA from 1 species
ACCUAGGUGGCUUAGUCAGUUAAGUGUCUGACUUUGGCUCAGGAUGAUCUCAUGGCUCAUGGGUUCGAGCCCCAUGUCAAGGUC